rnacentral:rRNA from 1 species
GACGAACGCUGGCGGCGUGCUUAACACAUGCAAGUCGAACGGUGAAGCGCCUUCCUUUUUGGUGGGUGUGGAUGAGUGGCGAACGGGUGAGUAACACGUGAGUAACCUGCCCCCUUCUUCUGGAUAACCGCAUGAAAGUGUGGCUAAUACGGGAUAUUCUGGGUCUGUCGCAUGAUGGGUCUGGGAAAGAUAUUGUUUCGGUGGGGGAUGGGCUCGCGGCCUAUCAGCUUGUUGGUGGGGUGAUGGCCUACCAAGGCGGUGACGGGUAGCCGGCCUGAGAGGGUGGACGGUCACACUGGGACUGAGACACGGCCAAGACUCCUACGGGAGGCAGCAGUGGGGAAUAUUGCACAAUGGGCGCAGGCCUGAUGCGGCGACGCCGCGUGAGGGAUGGAGGCCUUCGGGUUGUGAACCUCUUUCGCCAGUGAAGCAGGCCUGCCUCGUUUGUGGGUGGGUUGACGGUAGCUGGAUAAGAAGCGCCGGCUAACUACGUG